CCUGCCGGGGCUAAAGUGCUGACAGUGCAGAUAGCGGUCCUCUCCGUGCUACCGCACUGUGGGUACUUGCUGCUCCAGCAGG
rnacentral:pre_miRNA from 1 species